rnacentral:rRNA from 1 species
UGCAGUCUAACGGUGAUGUCAGAGCUUGCUCUGGCGGAUCAGUGGCGAACGGGUGAGUAACACGUGAGUAACCUGCCCCCGACUCUGGGAUAACUGCUAGAAAUGGUAGCUAAUACCGGAUAUGACGACUGGCCGCAUGGUCUGGUCGUGGAAAGAAUUUCGGUUGGGGAUGGACUCGCGGCCUAUCAGGUUGUUGGUGAGGUAAUGGCUCACCAAGCCUACGACGGGUAGCCGGCCUGAGAGGGUGACCGGCCACACUGGGACUGAGACACGGCCCAGACUCCUACGGGAGGCAGCAGUGGGGAAUAUUGCACAAUGGGCGAAAGCCUGAUGCAGCAACGCCGCGUGAGGGAUGACGGCCUUCGGGUUGUAAACCUCUUUUAGUAGGGAAGAAGCGAAAGUGACGGUACCUGCAGAAAAAGCACCGGCUAACUACGUGCCAGCAGCCGCGGUAAUACGUAGGGUGCAAGCGUUGUCCGGAAUUAUUGGGCGUAAAGAGCUCGUAGGCGGUUUGUCGCGUCUGCUGUGAAAUCCCGAGGCUCAACCUCGGGUCUGCAGUGGGUACGGGCAGACUAGAGUGCGGUAGGGGAGAUUGGAAUUCCUGGUGUAGCGGUGGAAUGCGCAGAUAUCAGGAGGAACACCGAUGGCGAAGGCAGAUCUCUGGGCCGUAACUGACGCUGAGGAGCGAAAGCAUGGGGAGCGAACAGGAUUAGAUACCCUGGUAGUCCAUGCCGUAAACGUUGGGAACUAGAUGUGGGGACCAUUCCACGGUCUCCGUGUCGCAGCUAACGCAUUAAGUUCCCCG